rnacentral:snRNA from 1 species
AGAUGUGAGGGCUACCUGGCUGCGAUAUCUGUCACUCCAUUGAUCGCAGGGUUGAUUCGGCUGAUCUGGCUGGCUCGGCGGGUGUCCCCUUCCUCCCUCACCGCUCCAGGUGUUUCCCUGCGUGCUCCGUGGAAGAGGAUGGCCUUUCCAGGAUAGAGACUGACAGGUCUUCAUUAGAGGAUAUAUGAGUGGCUGUGCUCCCCUGCAAGAACCUCCAAACAAGCUCUUAAAUAACAACAACAACAACAAUAAUAAUAAUUUCCCAGAUUACAAACAUCCCAUUGCAUAUCCAGAGAAAGCUUGGAAUAUUAAGAUA